rnacentral:sRNA from 1 species
UCAGUAUUUCGUAAAGUUUCCAACGUGG